AACACAACUGCGGUAAAGCAUCACUGGCUGUGAAGAAGCAGGGCCAGAAAACUACAGCCAAAUACAACAGCUGCUGAGGGCUGUCUCAGCUUGAGCGAUGACCGAGAGGACAGAGCACAGUCCAUCACUAGACGCAUCAUCAGCAGAGAGAGAGCUGGACUCUCCACUCAUCUUCUGAGAAAGGAGAGCACGAGACUGAGAAAAAAAAAAUCAUCAAGAGACAGCGGGCCCUGGGUGGUGGAGAGGGGUUGUGCUGAAGUGGACUGGGAUAAGGAGGAGUUAUGGGUCAG